GUGUUCGGCGGCGGUGGCGGCGGAGGCGGAGACGGAGGCGGAGUGUAUGAUGUGAAUUUGGUGGUGAGGUUGAUCAGAUUGUUCGUGUAUGAUAACAUGUCAAUGGAGAGGAUGGUGAAAGUAGGGUUUCUGAUUGAUAUGUAUUUGGGGGAGAUUGGGCCUGAUCCUACCCUCAGAUUCACUAAGUUUCUUGCUGUUGCUGAGAGUUUGCCUGAUUGUGCAAGGGAUUCUUUUGAUCAAGUUUAUAGAGCAAUUGAUAUAUAUCUUCAGAUAUAGAAUCGUCUCCUGGCAAUGAGGUCGUGGUACCAGGCUACUAAGAAGCGCAACACAGUUAAGGUAUCUAUGAAGAUAAGGCAGUCGGAACGGGUAAUGAAUAGUGUAUACUUGUUUUAUUGUGUCACAAGUUUAUGUGUAUCUUUAACACAAAAUAAUAUUAGUUACAGGUUAGGAAUU